GAGUCCUGGGGGUUAUGAAUACCCAAAAACUUAUCUGUUUGCUUAUUCUCAGUAUUUUUCUGAAUGGUUUCGUAUAUAUUAAAGUAUCGUUAGUUUAUUUAGUUAUCAUAUCAGUCAAACUUAGUUCAAUCCAAAAAUUAAUGUCCUUCAGUUGGGAGUAAAGACUUAGCACCGAGUGAAUGUAGGUAUGGCGUCUCCCUCAUCAGUAGGCAUGGGACAUUUGUCUCCCCCGUCAGUAGGCAUGAGACGUUAGUAGC
rnacentral:lncRNA from 1 species